UUAUAACUUUUAUUUUAAAAUGCCAAGUUGUUGUGUUCCUUUGUGUGGAAAUAAAAGCCGAUUGUUUCGUCUUCCAACAGGUGUUAGUAAUAGGGCUAGAAGAGAGAUGUGGGAGAAUUUAAUAGGCCGGGACGAUUUGAACGACAACUCCAGAAUUUGCGAAUUACAUUUUUCUGAACAACAAUUCGAAGCAAAGCGAGCAGAUGGAAGGAAACUAUUGCGG